rnacentral:rRNA from 1 species
AACGCGAAGAACCUUACCAAGGCUUGACAUCGCCCGAAAACUCGUAGAGAUACGGGGUCCCUCUGGGGCGGGUGACAGGUGGUGCAUGGCUGUCGUCAGCUCGUGUCGUGAGAUGUUGGGUUAAGUCCCGCAACGAGCGCAACCCUCGUUCCAUGUUGCCAGCACGUAAUGGUGGGGACUCAUGGGAGACUGCCGGGGUCAACUCGGAGGAAGGUGGGGAUGACGUCAAGUCAUCAUGCCCCUUAUGUCUUGGGCUGCAAACAUGCUACAAUGGCCGGUACAGAGGGCUGCGAUACCGUGAGGUGGAGCGAAUCCCUAAAAGCCGGUCUCAGUUCGGAUCGCAGUCUGCAACUCGACUGCGUGAAGUCGGAGUCGCUAGUAAUCGCAGAUCAGCAACGCUGCGGUGAAUACGUUCCCGGGCCUUGUACACACCGGUACUA